rnacentral:rRNA from 1 species
GACGAACGCUGGCGGCGUGCUUAACACAUGCAAGUCGAACGGUGAUGCUCCAGCUUGCUGGAGUGGAUCAGUGGCGAACGGGUGAGUAACACGUGAGCAACCUGCCCCAGACUCUGGAAUAAGCUCUGGAAACGGCGUCUAAUACUGGAUACGAAACUGGCCCGCAUGGGCAUGGUUUGGAAAGUUUUUCGGUUGGGGAUGGGCUCGCGGCUUAUCAGCUUGUUGGUGGGGUAGUGGCUCACCAAGGCUACGACGGGUAGCCGGCCUGAGAGGGCGACCGGCCACACUGGGACUGAGACACGGCCCAGACUCCUACGGGAGGCAGCAGUGGGGAAUAUUGCACAAUGGGCGGAAGCCUGAUGCAGCAACGCCGCGUGCGGGAUGACGGCCUUCGGGUUGUAAACCGCUUUCGGCGGGGAAGAAGCGAGAGUGACGGUACCUGGAAAAGAAGCACCGGCUAACUACGUG